rnacentral:rRNA from 1 species
UGGGUCCUACGGGACGCAGCAGUGGGGAAUAUUGCACAAUGGGGGAAACCCUGAUGCAGCGACGCCGCGUGAGUGAAGAAGUAUUUCGGUAUGUAAAGCUCUGUCAGCAGGGAAGAAAAUGACGGUACCUGACCAAGAAGCCCCGGCUAACUACGUGCCAGCAGCCGCGGUAAUACGUAGGGGGCAAGCGUUAUCCGGAUUUACUGGGUGUAAAGGGAGCGUAGACGGCAGGGCAAGUCUGGAGUGAAAGGCGGGGGCUCAACCCCGGGACUGCUCUUGGAACUGCGGGGCUGGAGUGCAGGAGG